GCACUGCUGAGGAGUCCCACAAUAGGACGAAAGGGCUGUCCAGUGC
rfam:Schistosoma mansoni strain Puerto Rico chromosome 1, complete genome